rnacentral:rRNA from 1 species
AUUGAACGCUGGCGGCAUGCCUUACACAUGCAAGUCGAACGCGAAAGCGGGGCAACCCGCAAGUAGAGUGGCGAACGGGUGAGUAAUACAUCGGAACGUGUCCAGUAGCGGGGAUAACCUCUCGAAAGAGAGGCUAAUACCGCAUACGACCUACGGGUGAAAGAGGGGAGUCGCAAGACCUCUCACUAUUGGAGCGGCCGAUGUCGGAUUAGCUAGUUGGCGGGGUAAAAGCCCACCAAGGCUACGAUCCGUAGCUGGUCUGAGAGGACGACCAGCCACACUGGAACUGAGACACGGUCCAGACUCCUACGGGAGGCAGCAGUGGGGAAUUUUGGACAAUGGGCGAAAGCCUGAUCCAGCCAUGCCGCGUGAGUGAAGAAGGCC